GUCCACGCCCUAAACGAUGACAACUAGUUGUUGGGGAUUUAACAUCCUUAGUAACGUAGCUAACGCGUGAAGUUGUCCGCCUGGGGAGUACGGUCGCAAGAUUAAAACUCAAAGGAAUUGACGGGGGCCCGCACAAGCGGUGGAUGAUGUGGUUUAAUUCGAUGCAACGCGUAAAACCUUACCUACCCUUGACAUGCUAGGAAGCCCGAUGAGAGUUGGGUGUGCCCGAAAGGGAACCUAGACACAGGUGCUGCAUGGCUGUCGU
rnacentral:rRNA from 1 species